rnacentral:lncRNA from 1 species
UUGAGGUUAUAUUAAGGACCACUCCAUUCAUGAGAUGCUACACCAUUAAUUUAUUACAUACACACUUGUUUGACCCUAUUGAAGCCAACCUUGUGGACUGUGACAUCCACAUACCCCAUCCAAUUUUAACAUUGAUGCAUCCAUUCCUCUAUUGACUAUGUCCAUGUGCACACUCAACCACUCUCUCACACACCCACAGAGAAGCCUGGAAAGUGUGCACUUUGAGAACCACUCCAUCCACAAAAAUUGAUGAGCACUGCA